AUGAACGCUGGCGGCGUGCUUAACACAUGCAAGUCGAACGGAGUAUUCCGCCCGAGACCUGAUGUAGCUUGCUAUGGAUGGAAUCAAUUGGAAUACUUAGUGGCGGACGGGUGAGUAACGCGUGAGUAACCUGCCCUUGAGUGGGGAAUAACACCGAGAAAUCGGUGCUAAUACCGCAUAAUGUCAGAGGACCGCAUGAUCUUCUGACCAAAGGAUUUAUUCGCUUAAGGAUGGACUCGCGUCCGAUUAGCUAGUUGGUGAGGUAACGGCCCACCAAGGCAACGAUCGGUAGCCGAACUGAGAGGUUGAUCGGCCACAUUGGGACUGAGACACGGCCCAGACUCCUACGGGAGGCAGCAGUGGGGAAUAUUGGGCAAUGGGCGCAAGCCUGACCCAGCAACGCCGCGUGAAGGAUGAAGGUCUUCGGAUUGUAAACUUCUUUGAUCAGGGACGAAUUUGACGGUACCUGAAGAACAAGUCACGGCUAACUACGUGCC
rnacentral:rRNA from 1 species